GCACAAAAACCAGGCUAACCCAACUAUCAAAGUGAGAAUGCUGUGACCCUCUGAUGAUGAAUUUCACUCGAGUAAUUCCAGCUCUGCACAGACGCUUCCGGAAGGGGCAACUCACUCUUCGGUCCUAAGGAUAAACAAGGAAGUGUAAAGUACUUUCUUCAGUCUUAAAAGUGAGGAGAGGUUGAUAAGGAGCUGUUUCGGUAUCAAUUCCAUCUGAAUGCCUAACCCCAGAAGUGAUGGCCCUCUCUGCACUUCUACUUACACAUGAACAAUAAAACUUUGACUUAUCUAUCAAACUUUAACCUGUCAUAUACCAAGCACACAGGCGAUAAAAGCAUGGCCAUAAAAUCGGAUCUCUGCCCUAAAGAGGCUAAAAUACCUUUUCUUUUCAAUAUACAUUUAGAUUUAUUUUUAUGUAUGUUUUGCCUACCUGUACGUAUAGACUCAUGUAUUCUUGGCACCCUCAGAGAUCAGAUUUCCUGAAACUAGAGGUAGGGAUGGUUGUGAGCUACCUAACCCUCCAUGGGGUGAAAACGGACCCUGGUUCUUCUGCAGGUACAGCAGAUGCUCUUAACCACGGAGCCAUCUCUCCAGCCCCUGAGUACACGUCGAAAUGGCUGUGAUGCUCUUACUAUGUUCCAGACACUUCCUGAAUGGAAGUGGUUAUUCUGGGAAGGAGGGAAGGUGGGGGAUGAGGGACACGUGGAGGGAAGUUCGUUUAAUAGCAAGUAUUAAUAGGUGUGGCACUGCCAUGAAGACAAAAAUAUGCAGCUCCUUACCUAAUACAGUCAAGGUUUAACAGUACCUAAGAGGCCAGGUGUAGAGCACACACAAUUCCAGCACUUUAACUUAGGAGGCUAAGGAAAGGGGGUCAUGAGCUUGAGGCCAGUCUCAAGAUACUGUUUCAGAAAAGGGGGGUUGCGGGAGUUUGCAAGAUGGCUCAGAGGCCACCUGUACACGCCAGAGUCUGUUGCCUAGAACCCACAUCCUCUGACCUCCACACUCAUGUUCGGCAUGCUCACACCCACACGCACAUCAUACACACACAAUGAUGAGUGGAUUUUUUUUUUCAAAUGACUGUGUUCAUCUUGUACAGAGCAGAAGGGAGGCUUUGGGAGAUAGGGGUUAGAAAGACAACUGGAUGUCCUGAGAGAAUUGGUUGGAGAAGCAAAGAAAGGAGUAGUUGGGGUGGAAGAAUUCUUCUCGAAGUCAGUAAGUCAGUAUAAAAGUAAUUCUAUAUACCCCAAGCACCAACAGAGAGAGAAGCAUCUGCCUUCAGGAAGUCCAGCCACGGAAGAGAGGUAGAGUAGCAAGAAUAGGUCCAAGCAGCUGAAAAGGAACUUAGGAAGGAUGGCUUGGAGCAGAGAACAUUCUGGAGAGAGGGGGGAAUGCAUCAGUUUGAAUUACAUCAUUUCGCUUAUACGUGAUGUCCCUGGAGAAGGAUCCAGUGCUUGCUGGCUUAAUGUCCAGGGUUCGCUUAGCAUGCUGGUUUCCUCAUGUCAGUAAAUAUCCUUUAAAACAUUUAAUGACUCAUAGCAGUUCAUCAUCAAAACUGGCCAUGAGUUAUUCUACUCAUCCCCUAAGUCUGGACCUUGUGACUCUCAUACAAAUUCUACUGUUGAAGAGUCUUGUCUCUCUGGUCACAUCCACAGGGAGGACUGUUUUAGCUGAUUUGCUAUAAAUAGACUUUGGGCAGCAAGAACGAGAGCAAGAAGACCAGUUAGGCUAUCGUAACUCAGAUUUCAGCAGAGUUCAGAAGAGGUAAUUUCACUCUGAAGAGAUUUUAAAGAGAGAGACAGCAAGACUUGCUCAGAACUUUGACUCACAGUGUGAGACAGAGGGCAAUAGAUAACAUUUAAGGGCUUGACCUUGAGAACUGAAAGGAUUGGGUUGCUAUCAAAGGGAAGUUUGGAAGUCAGAGAAGGUCUGAAAGAUUUAGAGAAACAAUCUUCCCAGACUUUAUGAGCUCCAGUUACCUAGCAGACAUCUGAGCAGGAAUGUCAAGUCCAUAAUAUGCAAGUCAAUAAGUCAUGAAAUGCCUAGGUAGGAAAUACCAACUGGACCUCACUAUGUAUCCCUGGCUAGCUUGGAAUUUUCUACUUAGACCAAACAGGCUUCCAACCCACAGAGACCCACCUACUUCUGCCUCUUGAGUGCUGGAAAUAAACUAUGCUCAACUAUUCUUUUGUUUCUUUUAAGACUUGGCUUCAGUUUUUUUUUUUUAUGUAUGAGUGUUUUGUCUACAUGUGUGUCUGUAUACCACGUGUAUGCCUGGUGCCCAUGGAGGUCAGAAGAGGGCACCGAAUCCCUGGGAACUAAAGUUAUAAUAGUUGUGAGUAACCACAAGGUUGCUGGGACUUAAACCCAGGUCCUCUGGGAAAAAACAGCCAGUGCUUAACCGCUAAACCAUCUCUCUAGCACCCGACUCCCACCCCUUUUAAAUAUUGGUUUUGUCUUCCCAAGAUUACAUGUUUUUUAAGAAAAGGUCUAUUUUCUACACACUAUAACUCCAUACCCAUACACUUACCAUGUUCAUAAAAUAAAAAUGUAAAUAUAGAACUGUUGUUUCUUCUCUUUCUCUCUCUCUCUCUCUCUCUCUCUCUCUCUCUCUCUCUCUCUCUCUCUCUGUUUUAAUAAAGGGGCAAUGUUUGUUGUUGUUUUAGGACAGAGUCUCACUCUGUAUCCGGGUCUAGCCUGGUCUCACUCUGUAGUCCAAUGUAGUCUUGAGUUUGUGGUGACCACCACUUCCAGACUUCAGUUUUCUUAGUAUUUAAUUUAGACACAUCGAGAUGUCCUGGCAAAAUGAAGUCAGAGGUAGAAUUUUUCAAUCUAUUGCAACUUGUGGUCAUUUCAGGUCAGGUCAAAGAGUCGAUUGAAGAACAAGAAAAGAUCCCAAUGCUUCAUUACACUCACUUUAUACUCAGACUUUCUGAGGCACCAAGAACAGUCUCGAUAAUUCUGCUCUGGGUCCAGCAAGAGCGAGGUUCUCCCAAGAGCCUCGAUUCACCGAGCUGGUGUGAAUUUCUUUCCCGUUCCUUAGGACAGUGGUUCUCAACCUUCCUAAUGCUGCGACCCCUUAAUGGUUCCUCAUGUUGGGGUGACCCCCCAACCAUAAAAUCACUUCAUUGUUACUUCAUAACUUUUGUCACUGUUUCGAAACACAAUGAAAAUAUCUGGUAUUGACCCCCACCCCACAGGUUGAGGACCACUCUUUAGGGAGUUACUAUGGCUGGAAAAGUUCUGUCUGUGACUGGACAAAUCGGAGCCAUAUGGUUCACCCCUGGUUCACCCAAAGGUGCAUGGAAUACAAGCUAGAAGUGGUUUCACGGAAGGAAGGACAGGGCACUAUCACCAAGUACCGAAAAGGUGAGGCACUGCCUCCCAGUUAAGAAAAUGGUGGUGCAUGCCUUUAAUCCCAGGGAGGCUAAGGCAGGUGGGAAUCUCUGUGAGUUCGAGGCCAGCCUGGUGUACAGAGGUAGUUCUAGAAAUGCUAGGGCUACACAGAGAAAACUUGUCUGGAAAAAUCGACAAAGAGAAAAGAAAAUGGAUAUGAAUGGUUAGAAACCAAGCCUGCUGCUGUACCAGUUACACUAAAACCUGGGCUGCUUUAAGCCUGGGGUGUGGUGGCACAUUUAUAAUCCAACCACGGGGAGGCUGAGGAAGAGGAUGUUAACCUCAAAGCUAGUCUGUCUUGAAGAACAAUAUUGUGGUUUGAAUAGGCACUUGGUUGCCAACUGGGAGUGGGGUUUGGGGAGGUUGUGGGAUGUUAGAGAGAGAAGGUGCCUGGGUGGUUGACAUGGGCUGCUGGGAGCUGGCCUCGACUUUCAACUGAGCACUGUUCUGCCUGAUCCACCAAGAUGUGAAGCAUCCAAGCCACACCCACCCACCACAGUGAACUCGGCAGAAACGGACGGCCGUUCCGUUAAAGCUUAAGCCAGAAUAAAUUCUUCCCACCUUAAGGAGUUUCUGUAAGUGUUUAAUCACAGCAGUGAAGCAUAACUGAGGGGAAAGGAAGGAAGGAGAGGCCUGUCUUUACACUUACCUUGAAUGUGUCCCAAUUUCAUGUCCCACACUUAAUCAUCAGGCCCUUACAGAAUUAGUUGUCACUACUUUGUAUCACAUACAAAAAAAAAAAAAAAAGGUAAAUAUUAAGGUAUGACUGUAAAAGUUAACUAUCUGGAAGGGUCAGUAUUUCAGCACUUCACUUUCCAAAACACUCCCACCCGGCCUUGCAGGUUGCUUCUUGUCUGUAUGAGUCUUUUCCUAUUGUCAGUUUACAGGAAAGUAUUCAUUUGCUUUCCUUCGGUGCCCUGGGGACAGGGAGGCUGCUGACUGAGAGGCCUGGGAAACCACCACCAUAGCAGACGAAAGUGAAUCAGUGAGAAGGACAUUUACCCAGUGGAGAGUCUUGAAAAUGCAUCCACGGAUAGCCCUCCUGUCCGCCUUCACUGUUUCCUCCCUACGCUAAGAGCCAUUUCCUCUGUGUGGGAGAUGACAGAAUAUCUCAUUAUGUGUCUGAAUGUACCAGGCAGUCUACUGAACAGUGUGUUCUACAUAUCUCAAUCCAGUUCACUAUGACACACAGAGUUCGUCACCAAUCGACUGCUGGGUAGAGCUCCAGAGGACAAUUACGCUAGGCUCCUGUCUGCAAGGAUAACAAGAGCUGGGGACCGAACCCAGGGCCUUGCGCUUCCUAGGCAAGUGCUCUACCACUGAGCUAAAUCCCCAGCCCCAACAGAACCGCCGAGAAGAGGGAUGCACAGUAUCUGCCACAGAGUUCAGUCCAAGUCACUCCUCGUGGAUGGACUGCGUGUCACUAAGCAAGCCAUCAAGGCAGUGGUGGCUGGAGCCUGGGUUGACCGGGGCCACAGUUAUCGGAUCAGGCUUCAUUAGAUAAGAGGACAGCAUGUACAAAGCCUGUGGGUGGCAGGGAAAGUUGAUAAGGGCAUUGCUUCUCAAGGGCAUAGCUCUGAAAUGUUCUGAGCUCAGCAUGGCACCAGCUCCUACAACAGCUAUUGUCACACAAGCCAAUCGGCUAUUGUUGAGAUCACUCCGAUUCCAUACAUGUGGAGGAAGGGGGAGGGAAGAGGAAAGUCUGGAUUCCCAGAGCUGAGCCCAUGGAGCUUGAAGUGGCAACCAGAGACGUCCUUGUGAGAGACAGCGCAAUCGUCGCCUGGAGGAUCAGAUUCACUCACUGCUCAGUACUUGAACUGUUUGACUGUACGCAAUGGACUUUCUCUGUGAUCGACAGAGUCCAAUAGGAGGUGAGAGGAGGAGCCAGCAUACUGUGGUCCACGGAACAGUCGGUCACCAUCUACUUUUGCAUGUCCUGUAACAUAAGAAUCAGUUUUAACUUUUUUUUUCUUUUUUCUUUUUUUUCUUUUUUUCCGGAGCUUGGGACCACACCCAGGGCCUUGCGCUCACUAGGCAAGUGCUCUACCACUGAGCCAAAUCCCCAACCCCAAAUGGUAACUUUUUAAUUAACUUAUUUAUUUGGGAGGAUUUUUAAAAUAAAGGUUGCAUUGAUCUCUU